rnacentral:rRNA from 1 species
UACGUAGGGACCAAGCGUUGUUCGGAUUUACUGGGCGUAAAGGGCGCGUAGGCGGCAACUCAAGUCACUUGUGAAAUCUCCGAGCUUAACUCGGAACGGUCAAGUGAUACUGCUUUGCUAGAGUGCAGAAGGGGCAACCGGAAUUCUUGGUGUAGCGGUGAAAUGCGUAGAUAUCAAGAGGAACACCGGAGGUGAAGACGGGUUGCUGGGCUGACACUGACGCUGAGGCGCGAAAGCUAGGGUAGCAAACGGG